UUUUUUUCUUUUUCCUGUUUCAGGAUCCUUUCAGGGAACUUUAUUUAUUCAUUUAUGUCUCCUUAGGUUCCUGUUGUCUAUGCCAGUUUCUCCGACCUUCCUUGUGUUUGGUGAUCCAGACAGUUUUGAAGAACACUGAUAAGGCAUUUCCUUCAAUGACUGUUUUGCAUGGAAAAUUCAUCUUGUCAUCUGCCUUUCAGAGGAUCAAAUUUGGCCAGCAGCAGUCCAACUUAAAUCAAGAGUUGUAAUAUGAUAAUGAAGGAGAGAUCCAUACUGGGGAGCCAUCAUCUGUCUCUGAUGUAAGUACCAUGUCUGCAAUAGUUUUUCAGAACAUAUAAUAACAUUUAAAAAUCAGCU
ensembl:lincRNA